GACGAACGCUGGCGGCGUGCUUAACACAUGCAAGUCGAACGGAAAGGCCCUGCUUUUGUGGGGUGCUCGAGUGGCGAACGGGUGAGUAACACGUGAGUAACCUGCCCUUGACUUUGGGAUAACUUCAGGAAACUGGGGCUAAUACCGGAUAGGAGCUCCUGCUGCAUGGUGGGGGUUGGAAAGUUUCGGCGGUUGGGGAUGGACUCGCGGCUUAUCAGCUUGUUGGUGGGGUAGUGGCUUACCAAGGCUUUGACGGGUAGCCGGCCUGAGAGGGUGACCGGCCACAUUGGGACUGAGAUACGGCCCAGACUCCUCCGGGAGGCAGCAGUGGGGAAUAUUGCACAAUGGGCGGAAGCCUGAUGCAGCAACGCCGCGUGCGGGAUGACGGCCUUCGGGUUGUAAACCGCUUUCGCCUGUGACGAAGCGUGGGUGACGGUAAUGGGUAAAGAAGCACCGGCUAACUACGUG
rnacentral:rRNA from 1 species